rnacentral:rRNA from 1 species
GACGAACGCUGGCGGCGUGCCUAAUACAUGCAAGUCGAACGCUUCUUUUCCCACCGGAGCUUGCUCCACCGGGAAAAGAGGAGUGGCGAACGGGUGAGUAACACGUGGGUAACCUGCCCAUCAGAAGGGGAUAACACUUGGAAACAGGUGCUAAUACCGUAUAACAAUCGAAACCGCAUGGUUUCGUUUUGAAAGGCGCUUUACGGUGCCGCUGAUGGAUGGACCCGCGGUGCAUUAGCUAGUUGGUGAGGUAACGGCUCACCAAGGCCACGAUGAAUAGCCCACCUGAUAGGGUGAACAGCAACAUUGGGACUAAGACACGGCCCAAACUCCAACGGGAUGCAGAAGUAGGGAAUCUUCGGCAAUGGACGAAAGUCUGACCGGGCAACGCCGCGUGAGUGAAGAAGGUUUUCGGAUCGUAAAACUCUGUUGUUAGAGAAGAACAAGGGUGAGAGUAACUGUUCACCCCUUGACGGUAUCUAACCAGAAAGCCACGGCUAACUACAUGCCAGCCGCCGCAGUAA